rnacentral:rRNA from 1 species
UACAGAGGUGGCAAGCGUUGUUCGGAAUUACUGGGCGUAAAGGGCGCGUAGGCGGCCAUCUAAGUCAGACGUGAAAUCCCCCGGCUUAACCUGGGAACUGCGUCUGAUACUGGAAGGCUUGAGUAUGGGAGAGGGAUGUAGAAUUCCAGGUGUAGCGGUGAAAUGCGUAGAUAUCUGGAGGAAUACCGGUGGCGAAGGCGGCAUCCUGGACCAUUACUGACGCUGAACGGCGAAAGCUAGGGGAGCAACGG